rnacentral:rRNA from 1 species
AAUGAACGCUGGCGGCAUGCCUAACACAUGCAAGUCGAACGAGAUCUUCGGGUCUAGUGGCGCACGGGUGCGUAACGCGUGGGAAUCUGCCCUUUGGUUCGGAAUAACAGUUGGAAACGACUGCUAAUACCGGAUGAUGACGAAAGUCCAAAGAUUUAUCGCCAGAGGAUGAGCCCGCGUAGGAUUAGCUAGUUGGUGUGGUAAAGGCGCACCAAGGCGACGAUCCUUAGCUGGUCUGAGAGGAUGAUCAGCCACACUGGGACUGAGACACGGGCCAGACUCCUAAGGGAGGCAGCAGUGGGGAAAAUUGGACAAUGGGCGAAAGCCUGAUCCAGCAAUGCCGCGUGAGUGAUGAAGGCCUUAGGGUUGUAAAGCUCUUUUACCCGGGAUGAUAAUGACAGUACCGGGAGAAUAAGCUCCGGCUAACUCCGUGCCAGCCGCCGCAGUAA